rnacentral:lncRNA from 1 species
CUUACUUAAUUUAAUGCCCGAAAGACUAAGUUAUUGAUUGCGCUUACUGGCGGUCCCCGGGUUCCCUGAAUUUUUUUUCGAAGAUUAAAAUGCCCUACAAGUACCUACAAAUAUCCCAAAAAAUCUAAAAACAGUGUCAGGAUCCCUUUUUGGCUAAUUCUGGAAUUCUGGUAUGGCGACUCCGUUGUGCUCCGGCGAGCGGCGGUGGUCCGUCUCACGUCGGCUGUUUUCGGUCGAAUUCGGUCGAUUUUGCAUCAAUCCCU